GGGGGAUCCAGACCUGCAGGCCACAGCGUCGCUGUUGUCUGCUCUGAGACUAACCACAGGUUUACCUGUGACCAGACCAUACUGUAUCCUGGAGCCCUCAGGGUCAUCAUGACUCUCCUGCCUCAUGUCUUUACUGCAGAGGAUCCACAGCUGUCAGUGGAGGUCCAGUACUCAGUAGCCCACCACCUCCAGGUGAUGGUAACAUCAGAGAAGAACCGGCAGAUUGUCUGCAAGGGG